UACGUAGGCAGCGAGCGUUGUUCGGAGUUACUGGGCGUAAAGGGUGUGUAGGCGGUCGGGUAAGUCUGAUGUGAAAUCUCACAGCUUAACUGUGAAACUGCAUUGGAUACUAUUCGGCUAGAGAGUUGGAGGGGGGACUGGAAUUCUCGGUGUAGCAGUGAAAUGCGUAGAUAUCGGGAGGAACACCGGUGGCGAAGGCGGCGACCUGGGUCGACACUGACGCUGAGGCGCGAAAGCGUGGGGAGCAAACAGG
rnacentral:rRNA from 1 species